AAAAAGUUAGUUAAAUUAUAACAUUAAUAUGUCAAGUUAAAAUUACUAAUAAUUAGUACUUUUUG
rnacentral:tRNA from 1 species